UGUGUCUGAGAGCUCACAUUCCAAUAGCGAGAGCCUGGCACGUGAUCCCUGGCUGGGUGGCUAUAUCCCAGUGAGUGUGCACCACAGGAGAGAAUGAGUGUAGGGGAGCAGCUCAUGUCCCCGCCACACCUGUAUGCCAGCUCUCAUUAGGAGCCCCACACUUGGCCGGGCACGGUGUCUCACGCCUGCAAUCCCAGCACUUUCAGAGGCCGAAGCAGGUG
rnacentral:lncRNA from 10 species